rnacentral:rRNA from 1 species
CAGCCGCCGCGGUAAUACAGAGGGUGCGAGCGUUAAUCGGAUUUACUGGGCGUAAAGCGUGCGUAGGCGGCUUUUUAAGUCGGAUGUGAAAUCCCUGAGCUUAACUUAGGAAUUGCAUUCGAUACUGGGAAGCUAGAGUAUGGGAGAGGAUGGUAGAAUUCCAGGUGUAGCGGUGAAAUGCGUAGAGAUCUGGAGGAAUACCGAUGGCGAAGGCAGCCAUCUGGCCUAAUACUGACGCUGAGGUACGAAAGCAUGGGAAGCAAACAGGAUUAGAUACCCCAGUAGUCCCUGUCUCUUAUAA